rnacentral:rRNA from 1 species
CCCUUAGAUGUUCUGGGCCGCACGCGUGCUACACUGAGUGGAUCAGCGGGUCAGGUUACGCGAGAGCGUUUCCUAAUCUUCAAAUCCGCUCGUGAUGGGGAUUGACGGUUGCAAUUUUCCGUCAUGAACGAGGAAUACCUUGUAAGCGCGGGUCAUCAUCCCGCGCUGAAUACGUCCCUGCCCUUUGUACACACCGCCCGUCGCUCCUACCGAUUGAGCGGUCCGGUGAGGCUUUGGGAUCUAAGCGAAAAGAGCGUUUCGCUCCUUUUGCUGGGAGAACUCAGUCGAACCUUAUCAUUUAGAGGAAGGAGAAGUCGUAACA